rnacentral:misc_RNA from 1 species
AACUGGCCUGAAAUCAUCUUCCUGGCAAUAAAAUAUUACACAGUGAAAUCAUCUUCAUGGCAAUAAGAUAUUACACAGUUGAUAUUAACUCACAAGUAUUAAGUAACUUCAAAUCUAAACUUUACAGUAUUAAUUAACUUCAAAUCUAAACUUUAAUAGAUAAAUUAAAAUAUGUUUCAAAUUAGAUGUGCCACAUAACAUAGUGCAUAACUUAAAAAAGAGGCUUUCAUCAAGAAGAAAAAAAAUAAGCG